UUCCUUUUUUGUGCUCACCAAUGAAGCCAUUCCAUGUGGCAGAGAACGGCAAGACCACCAGGACUCUAAUGGCCGCAAGAGAAGUAGCAGACGACGACCGUGUGUGUGUGUGUGAAGGUCAUGGGGGCCGGACGAGGCCACGCAUGACGCCUACAGAGAGUCGUCCUCCUCCUCCCCAGGAGCUCCUCCCAUGGCUUGCUUCUCGGCUGGGAUUGCCUUCGCCGCUACCAGUCUCUCUCGCGCACCCGUCGUCUCUUCUUCCUUGAUGGGCAGCAGGACUCCCAUGUCCACUGCGACCGCCUCAGCCACCCGUCUGCUCAUCUUGAGCUGUGAAAAGAGAGACUUCUAGUGGCCUCUAGUCCUGCAACUCCGUUCCUCUUCUCUCUUCUCCCUUUGUUUCUUAUGGUUGUUGAGUUCAGUUGCAAUGCUGAGAACAUAGAUGUGUCCAAGGCACUUGAUGAAAUGUGUCAAAGAGAACAAACUCUCUUCGAAUACGGUUAGCCAUUCCGUAGAGAACAAUACAGAUCGAGCUAUCUAAAUGAUAGUAAGAAUUGUGGAGCAGUAUCACAUUACUUUGCUAGAUCUGUUGUGAUACAGAGGAAUUAAUCUGUUUGGUUAUAGCAUGGCAGAUUGUCAAUUUGAAGUCUGAGAAUAGGAUCAAACCAGAAUACUUUUUCCCCAACUCUGUUAGCUAUGUUUCAGUUCUUAGCCAAUUGAAACAGUGAAAGUUGUAAGUAAACGACAAUUAGUCUCUUCAUCUGGAAUAAAUAACAUCUGAGAGGAGGAUCGCCAUACCAUCAUCUUCCUGACUCGUAGAUCUACUUGCAGUUACUACCUAGCAUUUUCCGACAUUCCACAGGAAUAUAGUACAGAGUUGAUGAUUUCAGUAUGUGUUGUUUCACUGCCAGGCAGCUAGGGUUUUGGGUCCUCCGUCAAAAUUUGAAGCCUUAAAGCUCAAAGUAGUUUUCAUGGGGGAAGAAAUGGAGAAGCAGAUUCCGAGCACCAUUCCAAGAGUUUACACCCUCACACACUGUGACUUCACAGCUAAUCUAACCUUAGCUGUCUCCAAUGGUAUUCAUAGUCAAAAGCUAUUUGAUGCCUUGCAUUACACUAACGACCGAUGGAAGCUUUCAUCAAAUAUCACGGUUGGACUGGCAAACCACAUUACAUAGGGAUGAUGUUGUGGCAGAGUGGAAGGAGAUUAAAGAGGAAAUGUCUUUGCAUGUACAUUGCUAUGUAAGUGGGUCUGACAUCCUCCAAGAUCUGGUUGCUGGAUUCCGAUACCAUAGCUUCUCUAAAGAGCUACCAGUGGUUUUAAAAGCUGUAGUACAUCUGUACAUGGAGAUUCUCUCUUAUUUAGGAAGCACCCUGAGCUGCUGGAAACUAAGGUAUGGGCGUACUUCCAUUCAAGAUUGAAGAAGUACAAUCGAGUAGAAUGCUGGGGUCCUUUUAAAGAUGCUACACAGAGAACACUCGAUGAUGGAUAUGAUACUUUUCAAACUUCGGUGUUCAUUAGCAUUGGGAAAACAAUCUUACAUUCGCUAGUUGCCUUCCUCCUCUGAGACAGCAGCUAUUGCUACAAAGAAGUCCUCUUCCAGGCUAUAUGAUUUUUAUGAUCUUAUCAUUGAUUCCAUUCAUUCUUCUUCAGACGGACAAGCAAGUGAAGAACGACAGCCUUGCAUGUAAAUGCAGUCAUUGGUUCAUGGAUGAGUUCAACCCAUGACCAUUUAUGUUUUGAUUGUUUCACUUCACUGAAUUAUUGUUAUUCCUGGUUGAUGAGUUCAACCCAUGAACCAUGCAAAUUGUACCAUGAUACACAAAAAGCAAUUUCUUGAGAUUUUGAGUUGGAUACUGCUCAAAACUAAAUACUUGGAUAAUAAAAAUAAUAUUUCCUUAAGUUA